UACAGAGGUCUCAAGCGUUGUUCGGAUUCAUUGGGCGUAAAGGGUGCGUAGGUGGCGCCGUAAGUCGGGUGUGAAAUUUCGGAGCUUAACUCCGAAACUGCAUUCGAUACUGCGGUGCUUGAGGACUGGAGAGGAGACUGGAAUUCAUGGUGUAGCAGUGAAAUGCGUAGAGAUCAUGAGGAAGACCAGUAGCGAAGGCGACACUCUGGGCCGGUACUGACGCUGAGGAGCGAAAGCGUGGGGAGCAAACAGG
rnacentral:rRNA from 1 species